GGGCCCCUAGCUCAUGAUUGGUUAGAGCAGCGGACUCAUAAUCCGUUGGUGCGGAGUUCGACUCUCCGGGGGCCCACCA
rnacentral:tRNA from 1 species